UUCGCAAUGCCCGAAAGGGUGACGAAGCGACGCCGCGUGCGGGAAGAAGGCCUUCGGGUUGUAAACCGCUGUCGGGAGUUAAGAAAUGUAAGGAUGUUAAUAGCAUCUUUGCUUGACUAAGGCUCCGGAGGAAGCCACGGCUAACUCUGUGCCAGCAGCCGCGGUAAUACAGAGGCGGCAAGCGUUGUUCGGAAUUAUUGGGCGUAAAGAGCACGUAGGCGGCUAUGUAAGUCGGUUGUGAAAGCCUUCCGCUCAACGGGAGAACAGCAUCCGAUACUGCAUGGCUUGAGUGCGGGAGGGGAGAGUGGAACUUCUGGUGGAGCGGUGAAAUGCGUAGAUAUCAGAAGGAACGCCGGCGGCGAAAGCGGCUCUCUGGCCCAUAACUGACGCUGAGUGUGCGAAAGCUAGGGGAGCAAACGGGAUUAGAUACCCUGGUAGUCCUAGCCGUAAACGAUGGGCACUAAGUAGAGGGGUUUU
rnacentral:rRNA from 1 species